rnacentral:rRNA from 1 species
GACGAACGCUGGCGGCGUGCUUAACACAUGCAAGUCGAGCGGGAAACUUCGGUUUCCAGCGGCGGACGGGUGAGUAACACGUGGGCAACCUGCCUCACAAUGAGGGAUAGCCUUCCGAAAGGAAGAUUAAUACCUCAUAACACAAGAGAAACGCAUGUUUCUCUUGCCAAAGAAUUUCGUUGUGAGAUGGGCCCGCGGCGCAUUAGCUUGUUGGUGAGGUAACGGCUCACCAAGGCUUCGAUGCGUAGCCGACCUGAGAGGGUGAUCGGCCACAAUGGAACUUGGACACGGUCCAGACUCCUACGGGAGGCAGCAGUGGGGAAUAUUGCACAAUGGAGGAAACUCUGAUGCAGCAACGCCGCGUGAGUGAUGAAGGUCUUCGGAUUGUAAAGCUCUGUCUUCUGGGACGAUAAUGACGGUACCAGAGGAGGAAGCCACGGCUAACUACGUGCCAGCCGCCGCGGUAA